rnacentral:lncRNA from 1 species
CUCUAUGGAAGUACCUCGGUGGCACCAGGAGUCACUGGGGGCACCCAGCAGGUGCAUGCUUAAUGCAUGAUGGGUGAGACGUAAACAGCCAGCCAGGCGGGUCCAAGCUCUCUUCAGUGGUCCCCAGGGCUGGCAGCUGGCAGUGCAGGAAAUGGGGUCCCCGAGGCCUUGGGGGGCACCUCCCGUUGUUCGCCCCCACCCACAUCCGCUCAGGACACGCUUCCCACCUCCACCGCCCCCUUUCCCUGCAGGGACACCUGCCUCUUCCUGCCUCCCCGCCCAGCCUGCCUUUUUCUUGCACGUCAGCCAAAAUCCGAUUCCCCCAAGACUCUGCCUCAUCAAAGAUCCUCUUUCUCAUCACCAUAAUUUUCCAUUUGUAGGUUAAGCUGCACCUGGGGUUCUCAGAAAUCUGCUAACUCUCUUCCAACUCCCUGAACUCCUCAAACGCCUCGUCCUCCCCUGCUUCUGUUGUUCAGAGGACAGGACGUAGCAGGGGUCUGGAAUCUGAGGCUCAGAGCCCUUUCCCAGGAAGAAGAGGGCAACCAGCCCCUUUCAGCAUGUCCCGUGCUCCGUGCACCUCUGUGACACCUGGUUACUGUACUCUGAAGCUUCGCACACCCCCGCAGUCUCCAUCGUAACCCCAGAAAACCAAGGCUCAGAAGGCGACGGGCCCCAGGGCACCCGGACGGUGACGACGGUGGCUGUGCCGUGUCCACGCUGGGUCACCUCGGGGGCCAAGACAGCUGAUGGCCGCAUCCGGGGGUGUGGACAGAUGGGAAGAGGAGCGCACCAGUCAAUGCGUGAGCCCAUUUCCGGCAAUCAGCGCCACGACGG